UACAGAGGUCUCAAGCGUUGUUCGGAUUCAUUGGGCGUAAAGGGCGCGUAGGCGGCCUGUUAAGUCGAACGUGGAAUCCCCGGGCUCAACCCGGGAACUGCGUCCGAUACUGGCAGGCUUGAAUCCGGGAGAGGGAUGCGGAAUUCCAGGUGUAGCGGUGAAAUGCGUAGAUAUCUGGAGGAACACCGGUGGCGAAGGCGGCAUCCUGGACCGGCAUUGACGCUGAGGCGCGAAAGCCAGGGGAGCAAACGGG
rnacentral:rRNA from 1 species